rnacentral:pre_miRNA from 1 species
CUGUGUAUGAAAUGGUAACUGCCCUCAAGGAGCUUACAAUCUAGCUGGGGGUAAACUAAACAACUUGCACAUGAACGCAACUAGACUGUGAGCUUCUAGAGGGCAGGGACCUUA